AUGGUCCAGAAGCUGGUGAGAGAAGCAGCUACUGGAUGCUGCUGCUGUGAGCAUCUCCCUACUGCCUGGAGUGACCCUGGCACGAGGUUGAAGAAAUUCGAUAAGAAAGAUGAGGAGUCAGAUGGAGGCUUCAACCCACUCCAGAACCUUGAGAAGAGUGCAGUUCUCCAAGAGGUUCAGGUCUUUAAUGAAACUCCCAUCAACCCUUGGAAAUGUGCACACAUUCUCACCAAGAUUCUUUAUCUCAUAAACCAGGGGGAACACCUGGGAACCACAAAAGUGACUGAGGCCUUCUUUGCUAUGACCAAGCUCUUUCAGUUCAAUGAUCCCACACUCUGCUCAUGUGCUACUUGACCAUCAAGGAGAUGUCUUGCAUCGCAGAUGGGGCCAUCAUUGUCACCAGCAGCCUGACAAAAGUUAUGACUGGGAAAGAAGACAACUACCGUGGUCCAGCCAUGUGAGCCCUCUGUCAGAUCUCUGAUAGUACGAUGCUGUAGGCUGCUGAGUAUUACAUGAAACAAGCAAUUGUGGACAAGGUGCCCAGUGUCUCCAGCUCUGCCCUAGUGUCUUCCCUGCACCUACUUAAUUGCAGCUUUGAUGUGGUCAAGAGCUGGGUGAACGAGGCCCAAGAAGCAGCAUCUAGUGAUAACAUCAUGGUUCAGUACCAUGCACUAGGACUUUUGUACCAUGUAUGUAAGAAUGACCCACUGGCUGAUAGUAAGAUGAUCAGCAAGUUAACCUGGCAUAGGCUGAAGUCCCCUUUUGGGUACUGCCUGAUGAUCUGAGUGGACAGCCAGCAAGUGGAAGAGGAGGAUUGGAACCCCUGACAGCCUAUUGUUUGACUUCAUCGAGAGCUGUUUGCCAUAACAAUCACGAGAUAGUGUUGUAUGAAGCUGCCUCAGCCAUGGUCAACCUGCCAGAUUGCAGUGCAAAAGUGUUGGCUCCUGCUCUGUCAGUGCUCCAGCUUUUCUGUAGCUCGCUCAAGGCUUCACUCAGCUAUGCUCCAGUCUGCGCUGUCAAUAAGGUUGCCGGGAAACACUGGUCAGCAGUGACUACCUGCAAUCUGGAUCUGGAGAACCUGGUCACAGACUCAAACCAGCAGCAUCACCACUUUGGCCAUCACUACCCUCCUUAAGACAGGGAGCUGAGAGCAGCAUCGACCACCUUAUGAAGCAGAUCUCUUCCUUCAUGUCAGAUAUCUCAGACGAAUUCAAGGUGGUGCUUGUCCAGGCUAUCAGUGCUCUUUGCCAGAAGUAUCCUCAAAAAACAUGCGGUGCUCAUGAACUUCCUGCUCACCAUGCUAAGGGAAGAGGGUGGUUUUGAGUAUAAGAGCACCGUUUUGGACUGUAUCAUCAGCAUCACUGAGGAGAACUCGGAAAGCAAGGAGUCAGGUCUGUCAGAUCUGUAUGAAUUCAUCCAAGACUGUGAGUUCAAGGUCCUGGCUACCCUUUCAAGUACAUCUGCUUCAUCUACAACUGUAUGGUCCUGGAGCAUGAAAAGGUUCUGGUAAGUGCAGCUAGUGCUCUAGCCAUGUUUGGAGCCCAGAGCUAAGAGAUGUUAUCUAGUAUCUUGUUGUUGCUGAAGAUAUGUGUGGUGGAUGAUGACAACAAAGUGAGGGACCGAUCCAUCUUCUAUCUGAAUGUCCUAGAGCAGAAAGAGAAGGCCCUCAAUACAGGUUAUCUCCUAAAUGGUCUGACUGUGUCCAUCCCUGGUCUGAAGAGGGCCCUGCAGCAGUACACACUAGAACCAUCAGAAAAGCCAUUUGACCUAGAGUCUGUGCCUCUGGCUACCACCCCUAUGACAGAGCAGAGAACAGACAGCACUGCCGACCACAACAGUGAAACAGCUUGAGGAAAUGGCAGCCACCCCCAGCAGGAGAUUUUCUAGGAGUGUUUAGCAGCUGUGCCAGAGUUCCAGGGGCUAGAACCCCUCUUGCAAGUCUUCACCUGAGCCAGUGGCCCUCACGGAAUCAGAGACAGAUUACAUCAUCCUUUGCACCAAACAUACCUUCACUGACCACAUGACGUUUCAGUUUGAGUGCGCAAACACCCUCAACAACCAGACCCUGGAGAAUGUCAUGGUGCAGAUGGAGUCCACAGACGCCUAUGAGGUACUGUGCUAUGUGCCUGCCUGGAGCCUUCCCUACAACCAGACUGGGACCUGAUACACACUGAUGGUUCUACCCAACGAAGACCCCACGGCUGUAGUAGGCACGUUCAGCUGUAUGAUGCAGCUCACCAGCAAGGACUGCGAUCGCACCACGGGAGACACUGAUGAAGAAGACUACAAGGAGGAACAUGUGCUGGAGGAUCUAGAAGUUACUGUGGCUGACCACAUUCAAAAAGCCAUGAAAGUGAACUUUGAAGCAGCCUGGGAUGAGAUCAGGAAUGAGUUUGAGAAGGAGGAAAAAUUCACCCUGUCUUCCUUCAGGACACUUGAAGAGGCUGUGGGCAAUAUUGUGAAGUUCUUGGGAAUGCAUCCUUGUGAGAGGUCAGACAAAAUGACAGAUAACAAGAGUACUCACACACUGAUCCUGACCAGUGUGUUCUGGGGUGAUCAUGACAUUCUUGUGGGCUCCAGGCUGCUGUUUUUAGACACAGUGACAAUGCAAGUGACAGCCAGAAGCUCAAAGGAGGUGCCAGUAAACAUCAUCUUGGCAAAAUCGUGGGCUAAGGGUGGAGAGGCCCUGCUCCCACCUUCUCACAACACUAAGAAGUUGCUCCUUUUUCAUGAUACUGGCUGGAAACCCACACGCCCCUAUGUUCAGAAGCAAUCAGGAAUCAGUAUAGAUUUUGUUUUCAAUUCUACUCUGUCACCGAGGAAUGAAAGUGUAGAUCUUGCUGCCCUGCCUGCAAGAGGACAUCACAAGUGA